UACGAAGGGGGCUAGCGUUGUUCGGAAUUACUGGGCGUAAAGCGCACGUAGGCGGAUUGUUAAGUCGGGGGUGAAAUCCUGAGGCUCAACCUCAGAACUGCCUUCGAUACUGGCAAUCUCGAGUCCGGAAGAGGUUGGUGGAACAGCUAGUGUAGAGGUGAAAUUCGUAGAUAUUCGCAAGAACACCAGUGGCGAAGGCGGCUCACUGGCCCGAUACUGACGCUGAGGUGCGAAAGCGUGGGGAGCAAACAGG
rnacentral:rRNA from 1 species